rnacentral:lncRNA from 1 species
GCUGCAGCUGAGUGCCCUCGGAUUUAUUCUCCUAUCUGCCUUGGUUGCCCAUGUUCUUGUUCUAAGUCCAUAAGAAAAAAAUAUUUCCCUUAUUUUCCUUUUUAUUUGCAUUUCGUGUUUCCUUCCAUCUCCGCUGCAAGAACGUGUUUUUGGUGGUACUACUACCUCGCAAGAAUGAUUUCAUGGUGCAUUCUCGCCCACAAGAAUGAUUUUGUGGAGUGUUAUUACCCUCAAGGACGAUUUGUUGUGGAGGCGACCAAGCCCCGCAAGGACUACUAACUCUCGGAUAGCUAACUCUUUCCCGCUAACUCUCAAUUAACCUGUUUUGAGUUGUUUGUGUGUUGUUCUUUGCUCUCAUUUGCAGGUAUGAAGGGCUUCAGCAAGAAGGUCAUGGGCGCACUCAAAAAGGC